UACAGAGGUGGCAAGCGUUGUUCGGAAUUACUGGGCGUAAAGGGCGCGUAGGCGGCCGCCUAAGUCAGACGUGAAAUCCCAAGGCUUAACCUUGGAACUGCGUCUGAUACUGGGUGGCUUGAGUCCGGGAGAGGGAUGCGGAAUUCCAGGUGUAGCGGUGAAAUGCGUAGAGAUCGGAAGGAACACCAACGGCGAAAGCACUCUGCUGGGCCGACACUGACACUGAGAGACGAAAGCUAGGGGAGCGAAUGGG
rnacentral:rRNA from 1 species